GACGAACGCUGGCGGCGGGCUUAACACAUGCAAGUCGAACGGAAAGGCACUGCGUGUUUGGGGUGCUCGAGGGGCGAACGGGGGAGGAAGAGGUGAGUAACCGGCCCUAGUCUUUGGGGUAAGUUCAGGUAAGUGGGGUUAAGACCAGACCGCAUCCGCCGUUGCGGGGAGGGGGGUGGAACGUUUGAGCGGUUGGGGAUGGACGGGCGGCUGAUCGGCUUGUUGGUGGGGUAGGGGCUGACCAACGCAUGGACGGGUAGCCGGCCUGAGAGGGUGACCGGCCACCUUGGGACUGCGAUACGGCCCAGACUCCUACGGUAGGCAGCAGUGGGGAAUCUUGCCCAGUGGGCGGAAGCCUGAUGCAGCAGCGCCGCGUGCGGAAUGCCGGCCUUCGGGUUGUAAACCGCUUUAGCCUGUGACGAAGCGUGAGUGACGGUACUGAGUAAAGAAGCACCGGCUAACUACGUG
rnacentral:rRNA from 1 species